AUCACCUACUUACAACAAAAGCAAGCCCCGCCCCUGGGAGGAGUCUGAGGGCCCCGAUCCAGUCUGAGGUCCCAGGACCUCAGCUUGCACUGCGGAGCAGGUGUUUCUGCCUGGACUGUCCUUUAUCCGUGCUCCCCACCGACAGGGCCAGUCCCCCAGCUCACCCUGGUGACACCUGCACACCACCCUACCAGCCUGGAGUCUCCAAGGAGCUGAGACAGUCCCUCUGGAUACUUACUGCUUGUCCAAUGCAGGCUGGAUCAAAGCAGAGGACUAUACUAGGCAACUCUCGUAAUGGACAAGGCAUUUGAGAGAAUGCUUAGGGUUAUCACCCCAGUAAGAGUGCUGACUCAACACUGAGGAGGCAGCUCAUCUGAACACAGCUUAACCAGCCGCCCUGCAGGGAGAGAGAAAGUCAGCCAGGAUGGUGUGUUCAGCCUCGCUCACCCCACGUCUUGUAAAUGAUGACUAUGUAACAGCUGAGAUCGUCUACUGCACUGCCCGUGCCUGUCACUAGGGGCCCACUUGCUUACGGGCUGCUUUGUACAGUGUGUCUUCACCAUGAAAGCCCUGGAUGCCGCUGCGCGGGGCCUACAGCGGAGCAACAUCAUGGUGAUGUCAUGAGACUAUGUUAUGGCUCCACUGUGGCUCCACCAUGGUCACGCUGUGGCUGCCGCAUCGUCCAGGAGAGAUUAAACACGUCUGCAGCUCCUGUGGCUCCUUGCG